UAAUAACAAAUUAUAAUUGUAUUCGACGGUAUAAAUAAAUAAAGGUCACAGAUUUUAUUUCCAUCAUUCGCUAUGAGAUGUAGUAGCUUUCAUUUUGAUCAAACGGAAGGAAUAUUUCUCGAUAUUUUUCUAGAGCAGAAGAAAUGUUUCCGUACAAAUGAUUGAAUCGAAAAGUAAAUAAGAUUCGCAACAACGUGUUCAAAUGAUACGUACAUUUUGGAACACCUUGUACAAUACACCUUAAGCGAAUAGCUGUAGAGAGGAAAGGGAGAAGGGGCGAAGGUCAAACCGUGGAGUCCACGGCAUGUAGAGGGAGGAGAUCACUAGAAAGCAUCUUCCCAUGAAUGAACGAAUCAAUCAACGAAACAAACGAAUGACGGCGUGACACGCUCACGGGGACAACAGUGGCAACGAUUAAUGACUAAACACCAAACAGAAUAAUAAUAAUUAAUUGAUUACAUUUUUCGAAUUAAGCAGGACUUUGCUGUACAAGCUACAUCGCUGCAUCGUUAAAAAUCCAUUUCGCGUUUAUCGCGACGCUAAAAAAAUUCGAAACCGGUGAAACUAACAAACAAAAGAGACACGUACAAAUUUAUAUAAUACAAACAACGAAAACAUUUCUAAGAAUCUCUUUCAUCGUUACGUGUCUAAUUAAACUACAAACGGUUGUUUCGCGACGAUCGUUUAAUCUUCUCGAGUUUGCCCGAACGCGAACACCGUAGAUCGGAAUUAACAAACGUCAAGCGAAAGAAUACUACCGAAAUGUAACAUUCGAAAAAUCUGACGGCUGUCAAAGUCGUGUGUUUAUUACGGUCUCGGCGCUCGUCGCUCGCGAAAUGCUUCACUCAUCGAAACCUAAGUUUACACUUGCUGUGCAAUCCUAACGAACGAUUACGUCGAUAGCGCAAAAUUUGACUUUAAUUCGACUUUAUGUAAGCGAUGAAAAUAAUCACCGGCGGCCUUUCCGAGUGUGAAUGGAACACCAGUCGUUCGAACGUUAACGCUAGUUUUUCCAUUGCACGUUCCGCGAUAAACGAACGGGAUACGGGAUACGGUGAGAUUAACAAGAAAACACAGAAAACACAGGAGGAAGGAUAAAGCAAGAAGUGGCAAGAAAGAAAAGAGGAGAGGCUCGAAAAGUGUAUGAAGAUAAAGGAGGAGAAAUAGAGGAAGAGUGCGAGAAGGAGCGAGAGAAAGCACCGGAAAAGGAAAUGGAGAAGGCAGGAGAGAAGUGUAGACAUUUAGGUUAUAACAGCAACGAGGAGAAAUUCUAUUGUGUGUUGACCUCUAUUACAGACGUGAGAACACGUCCACGUGCCGAGAACGUUACAAAACUGCCGCUCGAAGGCGGCUUCUCGUUCAACGCGUUCAUGUUCCGAGAACGUUGUACAACUAUCGCUCGCAGGUGGUUUCUCGAACGCAACAUGGCCGCUUCCCCCACUCUCGUAUAUAGAGUGAGAGGAAAGAUCGCCCGGAAACGUGGCGCCAUUUCUCGGCGAAUCGCCCAAGCUUGUCGUGAAAUAGUUCCUACAUAGCGCCGCUAGGUGCGCCAUAGCAUUCGGUAUUAUUAUUUAUUUAAAAAACUAACCACUCGACAAUUAUUAGUUGAAUUAUGAUAAUUACGAUGUAAAAUUAUAUGAAUAUCAAAAAAAAAAAAAAAAUUAAAACAUGGCGAUACCAUUCCCUUCGUACUGUGCAAUUUUAUUUCAGCAAAUAUUUCUGUAAAACUUCUAGUUGAAAGGGAGUAUUAGACUACACAAAAAUGUAAAAGGUAAUAUUGUUGGUUAAUAAUUAUGGAAAGAAAAGUAAGCGUUAACGAAGUUAAUAUCAUCGUCUAAUUUUCUUCGAUGCAUCACGGAGAAAUAAAUACUUUUUCCUCUAGAGUUGAAUUCUUGCAUGUUUAAUAGACGAGUUCCUUAUAAUUCUACAUCCAAUUUAAUAAAGAAAUUCUCGAAGAACAAGUGAAGUAACGAUGAUCUUAAUUGUGAUAACGCUUAAACAGAAUUAUCAAACAAUUUUUAUUUAUUGAUCCUGUUUUAACGAGGGUACAGGUGUAGGUGUCACCCAUUUCUGUAUUUUCUUGGACAUUAUUGCCCGUUUUGCUCAGGCCCAGUCGGCUGAAAACAACAAUGCUGUAGAAGAGUAGAGACUACUGCUAAUUUCCGUGAGCGGUCCGCGCAGGAAUAAAGUGCAACCUAAAAUUCGAAUUCAGUACUUGCAUGAAAAACUCUAUCUUCCAAACAUUGCAAAUGAAAAACUAAAAUAUUAAAUUACAACAGUGCUAUUGUUUCAAUUUACCACGAUGUUCUCUCGAGAGUUCUCAACUACAUGUACAACAAUUGAGAUUAAAUGAGAGAUAAAAAAAAAAGAAACAA